CAUUGCUCUAGGUUUUUAUCUGAGUGUCUCCAGUGCUCCUGAUCCGAGCUUCGGGUUUCUGAUCGGGGUUUGACCAGCUCUGAUCCAGACCUGCAGAUCUUCAGUGACAUGAGCUCCUCUCAUCAUGGCCAGAAACACUUCUCUCUACUUUCGCAUCGUCGAGGGACGAAAUCUGCCUGCAAAAGACGUUUCUGGGACCAGUGAUCCGUACUGCAUCGUCAAAGUUGACAAUGAGGUCGUGGCCAGAACCGCCACCGUUUGGAGAAACCUGAAUCCGUUCUGGGGCGAGGA